rnacentral:rRNA from 1 species
CGCGCAGGCGGUCGUUCAAGUCGAGUGUGAAAGCCCCCGGCUCAACUGGGGAGGGUCACUCGAUACUGAUCGACUUGAAGGCAGGAGAGGGAAGCGGAAUUCCCGGUGUAGUGGUGAAAUGCGUAGAUAUCGGGAGGAACACCAGUGGCGAAGGCGGCUUUCUGGCCUGCUCUUGACGCUGAGGCGCGAAAGCUAGGGUAGCAAACG